CUUAAUUCGACGCAACGCGAAGAACCUUACCAAGGCUUGACAUGCAGGGAAAUCUCGUAGAGAUACGGGGUCCGCAAGGGUCCUGCACAGGUGGUGCAUGGUUGUCGUCAGCUCGUGUCGUGAGAUGUUGGGUUAAGUCCCGCAACGAGCGCAACCCUCGUUCUAUGUUGCCAGCGCGUGAUGGCGGGGACUCAUAGGAGACUGCCGGGGUCAACUCGGAGGAAGGUGGGGAUGACGUCAAAUCAUCAUGCCCCUUAUGUCUUGGGCUGCACACAUGCUACAAUGGUCGAUACAAAGGGCUGCUAAGCCGCGAGGUGGAGCGAAUCCCAAAAAGUCGGUCUCAGUUCGGAUUGGGGUCCGCAACUCGACCCCAUGAAGUCGGAGUUGCUAGUAAUCGCAGAUCAGCAACGCUG
rnacentral:rRNA from 1 species